UACAGAGGUCUCAAGCGUUGUUCGGAUUCAUUGGGCGUAAAGGGUGCGUAGGCGGCGCGGUAAGUCGGAUGUGAAAUCUCGGAGCUUAACUUCGAAACUGCAUUCGAUACUGCCGUGCUUGAGGACUGGAGAGGAGACUGGAAUUUACGGUGUAGCGGUGAAAUGCGUAGAUAUCGUAAGGAAGACCAGUGGCGAAGGCGGGUCUCUGGACAGUUCCUGACGCUGAGGCACGAAGGUCAGGGGAGCAAACGGGG
rnacentral:rRNA from 1 species